rnacentral:rRNA from 1 species
CCUGGGGAAACUCAGGCUAAUACCGCAUACGUCCUACGGGAGAAAGCAGGGGAUCUUCGGACCUUGCGCUAUCGGAUGAGCCUAUGUCGGAUUAGCUAGUUGGUGAGGUAACGGCUCACCAAGGCCGCGAUCCGUAGCUGGUCUGAGAGGAUGAUCAGCCACAUCGGGACUGAGACACGGCCCGAACUCCUACGGGAGGCAGCAGUGGGGAAUAUUGGACAAUGGGCGAAAGCCUGAUCCAGCCAUGCCGCGUGUGUGAAGAAGGCCCUCGGGUUGUAAAGCACUUUCAGUGAGGAAGAAGGCUUGUGGGUUAAUACCCCGCAAGAAGGACAUCACUCACAGAAGAAGCACCGGCUAACUCCGUGCCAGCAGCCGCGGUAAUACGGAGGGUGCGAGCGUUAAUCGGAAUUACUGGGCGUAAAGCGCGCGUAGGCGGCUUGAUAAGCCGGUUGUGAAAGCCCCGGGCUCAACCUGGGAACGGCAUCCGGAACUGUCAGGCUAGAGUGCAGGAGAGGAAGGUAGAAUUCCCGGUGUAGCGGUGAAAUGCGUAGAGAUCGGGAGGAAUACCAGUGGCGAAGGCGGCCUUCUGGACUGACACUGACGCUGAGGUGCGAAAGCGUGGGUAGCAAACA